GUGGCAGAUACCCCAGCGUUACAUUAAUGAGUCGUUUAAUGUGACUUUAGACUGCCACAUAGAGUAAAAUGGUUCCUGCCGACAGGACCUGGAAAGAUGUGAGGCUUCCUGUGCGAUGGCUCCAUACAUU